rnacentral:misc_RNA from 1 species
AUCACCGCACGUCAUUGUUCACCGCGUGCAUUAUUCGAAACAGCUCCACCUAUAUAUUCGAGGUCGCGACGUCGAGCGUUACGUGUCUGCGGAAGACGGGAUCGGGCAAUUUAUCAAUCCACAAGCGAGAGAACGACUUCUGGCCGGGCGGGUAAUUUAACAAGAUUGAUGCGAAGCCGACAUGCCACAGUUUCGCAGCUCGCGAGAAGGGGUCGGUUGGUGUUGGUGAUGUCGGCGGUAUGGGGUGACGUCGGAGGGCUCUGAGAGGAUGAGAGAGUUCAACUUUCUCCGUGCAACGACAUAAAGAGAACGCAUAAAGGAGGUUCGGAAACAGUUGUGCAAAGAGGUGCAUCGCUACCGUAGCUACAUCUUAAACGUAUUCAGGAAAUUGGCCGCGAUAUCGACGCCAAUUUAUCGCCGUGGGAUACUCGAAAGUUGCGGCAAUGCCAUCCGCGGAUGACUCCGCAAACGCGCCAGUUGUCGUCGCCACGGUAACGCAGAACCACUUGCAACCGCGAACAUUUGAAUAAUUCGGCCGUUUGCAAGCGAACUUACAACGCCAUGCGCAUACAGCCGGAUCAUGGCCGCUACUUACUGUGCUGUACACCGAUCUCCGGGUAGUUUUCGAGCCCGUUUUCGUGUCCCGUGAAAGUGGACAUGUUUUUGAAGGCACAUCGCCUCACUGCGUCGCUUCUUUCCACCGUUUUAUGACGAUCGUGCACCCAGCAAAUGGCCUAGAAACAGGAUCGAUUGUUACCGUUUGGUGAACUCUAGUGAUUGAAACACGAUAGACCAAGAACGAUCUGUCUGGCAAUCGUUUCCUCAUAUCGAUUUUAAGUUUCUUCACUUAUUUUCAAUAUAGGCUUUUAUCAUGUAGCAAUAGUAUUGUUUAUUUGCACGUUUUGGAAAUAUUCGUUUACACUCAUGGAAAAUUACGAAAAAAAUUUUAUCAUUCGCAAAUCUUUGCUUAAUGAAUGUAUUUAUCUGAAACUAUGUGCGUCGCAA